rnacentral:misc_RNA from 1 species
AAUCCUCAAAAGAAAAGCUUAACUGCUUUCUCUUUUGGAAUUGGAGCGUGCUGGCCUUCUGUUUGGGAAGCCCAGCUCCUCUGAAAUACAUUAGCGAUGUGACGUCCGCAUGGCACCACGCCUCUCUGGCAUUGAUAGUAUUUUCAUGCUUGAGCGUGUUGUGCAGCUGUGGAAAGUUUCACUCGCUCACAAAUUGAUUGAGGGGCUGCUCCCCCCCCAAUCCUCAUGACCA